rnacentral:lncRNA from 1 species
AACAAUUGGGAACCUGAUCCAACUUGAAGAGUUGGUGUUCUGGGAUACUGACAUCAGCGGUGAGACUAUGUCCCAGUUACUUUGUUUCUAGAUAUCUCGUUUCAUUUUGCAACUGUAGACAGAUUAUACACCUACUAUAUGACACGCCAUGCAUACACCGUUAAAAAAAAAUAAUGAAUGUAAGUGAAGAAGAAAAUUUAACACUACCAAAUCACCAGAGUGACCUUCAGAAAACAAGAAAAAGGCUUUGGCUAGUAAUUUUCAGCAAUGUUGAGAAAAGAAAAACCCUGAUAUUUUCACUUUGAGUCUAUGACCAAAUUUCCAUAGUUUAGCAGUUUGGAAGGUUAGAUGCCUUUAACACUAGUACACACGAGUCACGACUCAGGUCUUCUUUUCCUUCUUUUUGUUUCUCUCUUGACAUGAUACAUUUCAGAUACCAUAAUACAGUAUUGGUCUGUUGACAAAUAUACCAAGGAAUAUUAAUUUUUUUGGACAGGCCUUUUUUUAUUAUUUUGACCAGAUUUACAUGUAAAUGUUCUCUAACGAGAAAUCAACUUUAGAAUAUAUCAUUUGUAGAUCGAAACACUGGAUCUGUAAAAUAUAUAUUGAAUAUGUUGUGUUAACAUUAUUCGGCUUUCUCCGGUCUAAGGCCUCUUUGAAACAAAGGAACAACAAAAGGAAGGACUAGUUUUUUGAGCAUGGUCUCUCUCCCUCUCCCUCUCUCUCAAACCUGAGUGUGGUCUGGAUUUUCUAUUUGUUAUGAUUUGUGAAGGAAGAGGACCCUUUCUUGUGGAAUUGGAAUUGGAGGGUGCAUUCCAAAAUUUCAAAAUUCAAACGGUUCUUUCCUUUCCUCCAGAACGCAGUUACUUUUGUGUCCUUACCCCCUCAGUGUCGUUGCUUCUUUAGGCCAGUCUCAAUGCACAAUUUCAUUGCAAUGUUACCAAAAUUAAAAAAUUUGGUAACUGUGCAUGUUGGGUUUCAUGGGGAUGAAACUCCUCUCUCAUUUCAUGAAACUCCAUCCUCUCUCUCCUCGUAAAGACCUUGACAAAUCAGCAAAAUUGCUGAUGUGGUAUAGAAAUUUAUACUGACAAAACUUUUUAUAAAACUCCCAUUGAGACUGGCCUUAGAUUGCAGCAACAUUCGGAUAUGUUUAGCUCCAAUGUAAUGAGAUGCUAAUUUGGUUCAAUUUCAUACUAGCGCUUUCAGUGUGAAGAAGCAUUAAUAAAGUCUACAACAUUCUAACUGUUGGUAUUCUACCCUAACAUGCAGGAAAAAUUCCGAAGUCUUUGUUCGCUCUUCCAGUCCUGCAGCAGCUUCGUCUAGUUAGGAAUCAGCUUGUUGGCUCACUAGAAGACAUUCCUGCUCCUUUAUCGUCACCAAUGCGGGAGAUGGAUUUAAGAGGUAAUCAAUUGACAGGCCCAAUACCAAAAUCACUUUUUCAGCUCACGAAACUUGAGCGUCUUCAUCUAGCUAGGAAUCAGCUUGUUGGCUCAAUAGAAGACAUUCCUGCUCCUUUAUCGUCACUAUUGUUGGAGAUCGAUUUAAGGGGUAACCAAUUGACAGGCCCAAUACCAAAAUCACUUUUUCAGCUCACAAAUCUUGAGUAUCUCGAUCUUGGCUCGAAUAAAUUGACAGGCACAAUAGAACUUGGCUCUAUAUGGAGGUUGAAAAAUCUCAUUGAUCUCGACCUGGGUAACAAUAUGAUAUCACUCGUAGAAAAAGAAGGUGAUACGAUAUUCUCUUAUUCCCUUAAAAUCCGGACCUUAUACCUUGCAUCUUGCAACCUUACAAAAUUUCCGGAAUCAUUAAAAUAUCUUGACACUAUUCAAAGGCUCGACCUUUCCAAUAACCAAAUUGAAGGGGCCAUACCAAGUUGGUUGUGGGAGAAACCCCUGGUUAGGUUGAACCUCUCACACAACAUGUUUACUACUUUAGAGAGGUCUCCUACUUUUCAGAUGACAGAUUUAGAUUCUCUUGAUCUCAGUUUUAAUAGAAUUCAAGGAAGCAUACCAAUACCAUCAACUCCAUCUUACCUAGUUCUGUUGGAUUACUCAAAUAAUGACUUCUCUACCAUGGAACCUAACUUUGGCAGGUAUCUUAGAAAUGCCAUCUACAUCAAUUUGUCAAAAAAUAAAUUAAGUGGCCAUGUACCACUUUCAUUUUGUAGUUUAAACCAACUUAAGCUCAUGGACUUAUCUUACAAUAACUUUAGUGGACCAAUUCCAUCAUGUCUUAUGGAAAGAGUUGACCUGAGCAUAUUGAAGUUAAGAGGAAACAAAUUACAUGGCGUGCUACCUGAAAAUAUCAGAGAAGGAUGUAAGCUUCAGACAAUUGAUUUCAAUGAAAAUCAAAUUGAAGGUGCGCUACCUAGAUCACUAGCAAAAUGCCAAGACUUAGAGGUUCUUGAUGUUGGCAGUAAUCAUAUUGUAGAUUCAUUUCCAUCAUGGAUGGGUACUCUUCCAAAGCUUCAAAUUCUUGUGUUGAGAUCUAACAAACUCUAUGGCACUAUAAGGGAUCUUCGCAGGGGCUACCAACACUUUACAAGUUUGCAAAUAGUUGAUUUGGCCUCCAACCAUUUCUCUGGUGACUUACAUUCCGAAUGGUUUGAGAAUUUUAUUUCAAUGAUGAAUAACAGCAAUGAUGAGGGGCAGAUAUUAGAGCACCAUCCAACUGCAGCAAUGGCACGAUUGUAUCAAGAUACUGUCACUAUCACAUUCAAAGAUGCUGUUUUAAGCAUCACCAAAAUCCUUCGUGCUUUCAAAGUAAUUGAUUUGUCAAAUAACUCAUUUGAGGGUUCCAUUCCAAGUUCAAUUGGAAGACUUGCUUCACUUCACGGACUUAACAUGUCGCACAAUAACUUCACGGGAGAAAUUCCAUCACAACUUGGGAAGUUAACAAGGUUGGAAUCAAUGGAUCUCUCUUGCAACCAUCUCUCGGAAGAAAUUCCACAGGAGUUUACCUCUCUAACUUCUCUUUCCUGGUUGAACCUUUCGUACAACAACUUGACAGGAAGAAUACCGCAGGGAAACCAAUUCUUGUCAUUUCCCAGCAGUUCGUUUGAAGGCAAUGCUGGCCUAUGUGGAAUUCAGCUUUCCAAGGAAUGUGACCCUCAUCCAGAUUCAACCACCCCAAGCACAUUGGCUCCAGAACACAAUGCUUUGUGGCAGGAUAGACUCGACGCCAUCAUUUUGUUCCUCUGUGCUGGCUUGGGCUUUGGCGUGGGUUUUGCAUUGGCAAUCAUAUUCGGUCCCUUUUACCACAUAGAAGAAUGGCUUUGCAAGCAUUUGUAAUAGUAAUAUAAGUUUUCAACAAGAAUAAUUAUGUAUGUUUGUGCUGUACUCGUUAUUAGAUGAGACAACUUAAAUCCACUCAGUUGUAAUUACGUUGUAACUAGUCCACCAACCCGUACUUCCACAUGGGCCAAUAUUUUUAAAAACUGUUGUAUUUGAAAAUUAUUUAGAAAUUAAACUCCAAGCUAAUAAUAAAAAGGGUUUACUUAUUACUCUCUCAUUUUUUCAAUACUUCAACAUAUUACUCAUAUGAUGUGUACUUAUCUCUGUUCAGUUGUGAUUGAUUUUUAAUUAGUAAUUACUCUAUACACUUUUUCAUCACAUUCACACUUUUUCAUUUUAUAUUGCACCUCCAUACAUUGUGUUUAGCAUCAAAAUUAAUAUUUCCAUCACUUCCUCACAUACAUGUAUAAAUGGUCUUCAUGGCGAUACUCAUCAUGUCUAUAUACCUUAACUUAGUAUUUCUCUAUUAACAAGAACAUAAACUAGUAACUAGAAUCAUAUAUUAGUUUUUUUGGACAUUUCUGUAUGAUGCACAUGCACAAAGAUAAUUAGAUUAAGAAUUAGGUGUUUACUUUAGAUUAUUUUUAAAAACGACAUACAUGGGUAACUUAGAUACAAACUUAGAAUGUCAUUUUAAGUUAUGCUUUAUAAUGAUAGACAUGAGUAAAUUGGAUGAAGAUUAUGGGCUUACUUUACAUUAUUUUUUAUAAUGGCAGAGCUCGGUAAUUUAGAUAUAGGUUUAGUGUUUAAAUGAUAGUGGUGGGUAACUUUUUAGAAACUAUAAUAUACCAAUGACUAUGAUUAAUAUAGUUUGCAUGAUCGAUAUUUGAUAUUUAUGAUUUUUAUGAGAAUUUCUAGGAUUUGUGUUUUUUAGCGUAUCUCUUCGUGCAGCCGUUGAGUUGUCCACUUAUGAUCCUAGGUAGCUUCACCUGGAGGCUUUAAAAGGAGACUCCAAUUAGUAAUAGUUACUGCAUUUCAUAAGUGAUUUUCAAAGAUAAUUUUUUGAGGCAAUAAAAAAAGUUGUGAUAUCACCUAGGUCUCAAAGAAAGUUGUGAUACCACUCUCCUUUUUGUUUUAUUUUUAUUUUAUUUUUCUGAUUCUCAUGUGUACAGCUUUGCAUGAUCAAGAAAAUUUAGGUAUGGUCUCCUCUCCCGACUUCUUCCUUUAAAAUUUGACAUCGAAGCGUGCGGAUUCUUCAUUUCAGGUGUUUCUUCUCAUUUUUCUUCGUUUUCUUUUCUUUUCCAAUUGUAGCUCAUUUUUCUUUUCAGCCCAUUCUUCUUUAUUUCAGGUGUCCGGAUUCUUUUCUUUUCGUUUUCUUUCCGUAUGCUCCUCUUGACCUUCAAUAUGCUUAACAUGUCAAACAAUAACUUCACGGGACAUAUUCCACCAGAACUUGUUAACUGUUGGCGGUCCUUAAAUACCAUAUCCGACCAUCAAUUCUAAUAAAGAAUAGUGAAAUAACAAAAACCAAACUAGAGAUAGGGGUUUAACUCUAACCAUUUUCACAAGCUUUGGUGAAUCAUUGUUUACAGGAGAUCGCGUCUCCAUACGAGGGAAAACAUGCUCAAACCCAUGAAGAAACACACGCUUCGGCCUAUCCUGAUAGAGCAUGAUACAAGAAGGGCCCACAUGACAUACUGUUGGCGCUAAAGAUCAGCCGAUCGAAUCUCAGCGUCGGACACACGACCCGGGAGAAUCUGCUUAACUCCUAUUCGGGUGAUCGCCCUAGUGCGGUUCGCGCGGCGUGCCAGCCAAUCUGACCUGUUGAUUGGCAAGGAAAGAAACGUGUCAGAUCCCAGAGGUUGCGAUCGGCUAAGGUUCCGAUCUCGAGGAAGCUUGUCAGCGACUCGGCCGAUUUGCUAUAAUAAGGAAAUCGGCUAUAGCGCAGCCGACUACUAGGUAACAUUUGUGAAGAAAGCUAUCAGAGUAAACUAAAAAAACGCUACAAUAGCAACACUUGAAACAGAUCUAAUCGGCUAUGCAAAAGCAGCGGAUAAGCGAUAAAUAUAAGUAAGCCGAAAGCUCUAAUUCCAAGCUAGAUAACUGGUGAUAAAAUUAGAACAGUAGGUAAACCCUAGAAUUCUAGUAAAUAUCGAUAACUGAUGAAUAAAUCUAAACGAAAUGACAGCGAUGCGCCCGAAGUUAAAGCUUAGAUAUUACUCGAUAAACGGAACUUACAGAAUCGUCCGGAGAUCAAGUCGAUGCAGCCCCGCCAACCCGUACGAACUCGUGGAAAGAAGAAAAGUACUGGCGAAGUCGCCGACUUAAAAAUAAAGUACGAGGAAAUAGUAGAUUGUUGUAUUGAUUUGAUGUUGUUUUUUCAGAUCUCUAAAGACGGCUAUUUAUAGCCUGUUACAACCAAUCUCUUAACCGACUAGGACUCUAUCUCUAAUAUUAAACGAAAAUGAAUAUUUACAAGCAUAACUCGUAUCGGAGUUGGUCGCCGCGCUCUUGUGGGCCAAUCCCCCCAUUAUCUUCGUAAUCCACUUUAAGCCCAUACUGGCCCAAUUGCUCCAGCCUCUUAAUCGGCCGAUCUGUACCAACUCCGUCCGCCAAAACACUGCAGCGUCAAUCGGCCAAUCUCCAACUAUAGCACCAAUCGGCCGAUUCCCAAUCGUGACCUUUUCAUCCUGCCGCAUCAGCUAAUCCUUCCCUUUCUUGACGCCGAUUCCAUACGUGUCAAAAAUUGGCGUCAACACAUACCAAAUCGCCUUAUCUUGGCGCGGGCCACCCUAGAUCCACAUGAGGAGCCCACAAGGAUCCACGACCAAAUUUGGGCCCAAACGGAGCCAGUAGGGGCUUGGCCGAACCCAUGGUUCGACCAAUCUGCCACUGGGCCCGAUCAAGCCCAUCUUUCGUGUGGAGUCUCCCACUGCCUUACUCGAGGCGGUUGCGGGAGGUUGGCGCGAAGCAACAAACCUGGACAUGGGAUCCUUCAGGAGUGGAGGGGAUAGAGGGAAUAUUCUAUGGGAUCUUUGGAGCAUAUCCACUCCCCCAAGGCUCCCUCUCCAAUAUAAAAGACCCCUUUGUCUCCAUUCAGCAAACAACAACACACAAGAGAAGAAGAGCUCCACCACUCCAAGGUAAAGGCCUACCUCUGUAGUGCUUAGAAAAUAGGGAGAGAGUGAGAGGUAGUUCGGAGAAGUGCUUAGAAAAAAGUUGUGAUAUCACCUAGACCUCAAAGAAAGUUGUGAUACUACUCUCCUUUUUGUUUUCUUUUUAUUUUUUUCUGAUUCUCAUGAGUACAGCUUUGCAUGAUCAAUAAAAUUUAGGUAUGGUCUCCCCUCCCGACUUCUUCCUUUAAAAUUUGACAUCGAAGCGUGUGGAUUCUUCAUUUCAGGUGUUUCUUCUCAUUUUUCUUCGUUUUCUUUUCUUUUACAAUUGCAGCUCAUUUUUCUUUUCAGCCCAUUCAUCUUUAUUUCAGGUGUGCAGAUUCUUUUCUUCUCCUUUUCUUUCCAUAUGCUCCUCUUGACCUCUUGGUUUUUACUACUACACUAGUGUGAUCAAGAAAUAUCUUGAAGCUUAGUUGUCUAUUAGCUAUACAUGAGUUGUUACCUAGUUGGCAUAUGUGAGUUGUUAUCUAGUUGUCAUAUUUGUUGUGAGUGAGUUGUGUCAGUCUUAUGAGCCUAUAAAUAGAGGCAAGCCUCAAGUUUGUAACUUGGUUUUGAUGUACCCACUACCUUAUGAAUAGGACAUGUUCUACCCUUUAGAUCUUGUACACUAAGGGCUUUGGACUAAACUCUUGCUAUCCAUGGAUUUGGAUUCGACCUUUUGAUCCAUCUUUGACUCUAGAACGAUAUGUAGCUCAGCACGUUGAAGUGGUUCCUUCAACACUUUGUGCUGUUUCUACCUAUUAGCACAUUGGAGAGGUUCCUCCAAUACUUGUGCUAUAUUUAUCUAUUUGUAGCAGCACCGUGGAGCUGUUCCUCCACAUUAGUGUUCUGAACUGCACCGUUGUAAUUCCACCAUAGAAAUAGGGCCAGUUCCGCCAUCAUCCAUUUAUGCACCAUACAUUUGUCAUGCGCUUUCCAGUUUGUAUUCCCAAAAUAGCAGAAUUCUUGAUAUGCUGGUUGUGACAGUAGCAUCAUCUCCAGACCUUUAGCUAACAUAUAUCCUUGCAUAGCUAUUUGUAACAGCUUACUCAGUGUUUGUCGCCACUCGAGAAUUGACCAGUUAAAUGGGCAUGCAGCUACACAAGAGAAAUGACUGCAAUAGUUCUCUUGGUAUGUAAAUACAUCCAUUUCUUGACCAUUAGGUUAACCAGACCGCUCAGCUGUAACCAUCCAUCCAUAUUGCAGGCUUCAUGAUCAAAUAAAAUAGCAUGAAGGUAUGACUGAAACAAACCAAGUCCUCGCCUGUAGCAAACAUCAAAUUGAUUCCCACACUCCAUCCUGAUUUGAAAAUGGAAAGGCCUCACUAUGCACAUGCUCAGUAGGUAAAUUUGUACGCAAGAAGAUUUUAUCUCUGAUGCCAUGGUUCCUAAGACAGCCACUUCACAAUUCUUACCAUUGAUGAUCCUAGAAUCAUAAGAUGCACAUCACUAGUUGAAUGAAGGUAAUCUUUCAACCACUGCUUUCUCACCUUGACUCUAGUAGAAUUGGCAGUCAAUAUGGACCACAGCCAUAAGGAUAUAUUUUGCACUACCAGCAUACUCACACAUGCAUUUCAGUUACUUGACAUUAUUAGAUCUACGAAGUAAUAGUCCUUCACCUAGAACUGUAUGCUGAAAUCGUCAUACCAUACCUCUCACACAUCCAUGUGGUUUGGACUGUGGACUGACCAACACAUCAGCCGCUAUUAGCCAUUGGUGUUUUUGACAGCAUUCUAACUUGAUAGCAACUAAAACUGAAAGCCGGCCAAGGUGCUGGUUGUAUCUCAGCACCACUAUCCAUAAUAUCCAGUUGUAUUGGCGGUGGCCAUGGAUGCUUCAGAAGCUCACCAUCUCUGCUUGGCUGAAUGGCGUCCACAAUAUUGGCCUUAGAUCAUCUGCACUGUGCAAACUCCAUGUAGUAUAGCAUGUGGCAGGAACAGGAGUACCGGCAUUACCCUGAACACCUUGCGGGCAUUGUAGACACCAGUGCCAAUACACAGCAGAAACAUGUCAUCUGUUGGAGCCGGGCUCUCGCUGGUGAUUUGGAAGUUGCAGACGUUGUUGCUGUUGAUUGUGGUGAACAAAGUUGGGGUGGUGACUAGAGGCCUAGAGCACUCAUGGUCGGUAGAACACAAGCAUUGUGGAUAUGACUGGGCGUUGAACACCUGUUGGGCGUCACAGAUUAGCACUCCGUAGUGGUGAUAGAGAUGGCUAGGGCGGCAUCCUGGUAAGAGUAGAGGUGGAGGUAGAGGGAGGUGCCGAGGAUGCGGUCUUGGACACCAGAAUGCAGGUGUCACCGUAAAGGGAAGUCUUUGGACACCUUGUGGGCGCCAUCUCUAGAACGUCGCUGGCCCUGACAGAACGACGCAGAAAGCUGUUGGUGAUGCCGAGGUCAUGGCUCUAGGCACUUGAAAGCAGGUAGCCGCCAUCAAACACCUGGUGGGCGCCACUGGUUGAAGCUCCGUGGCCGUGACGAGAAUGACAAUAGAGGCAUCCUGUGGUGGAAAGGAGGUCAGUGAAGGCACAACUGAGCAUUCCUUUCCUCGAUCAUCCGAUUCAUGUCAUCCCACUUCUGAUCUAGUUCUUCAAGGUUGGCUAGUAUCACAGCACACAUCUCCUCCGUCAUGUUCACUCGUAUUCCAAUGCGGUGCUAGUGGUGGUUUUUUGAUCGAAAUAGUUGUGAACCAAAUGUCACACCCUAGAUGCAACUCACAGAACAAAUUAUCUCCCAACAAUGAACUACGGAAUAUAUAUGGAGUAUACUAGAAUUUGGAUACACAUGGAUGAGGAACUCGCUGGUGUUCUCGAGCCGAAGCUCGCCGCCGCAGAGCCGAUGAGUCCCAAAUCCAGUUCUUCUGUCCCUCACGAUGAUAACGCUGCGCCAGCUACGCUAUCUACGCCAGCUACGCUGCUACGCUGCUAGAAUUAGAGUGAGAUGACCAACACAUUCUGCGCCAGCUACGCUGCAGCGAUGCCCGUUCAUGGGCCUAUCUUAACUACCUUAGCCAUUCGGGCCCAACAAGGAUAAUGUUGGGCUUCCGUACCUGAUGGCCCACAACUUCGGCUUUACUGCACUUAAGAUAAAUAUCAUGUACGGUUCACUGGAGAAGCCCUCCACCAGUUGUAGUUGCUAGUUAGUACAGGUCUUAUCUACAACCCUGCAUUAGCUAUCUCACUCUAAUUUGGCUAGCUGUCAGGACAGUCUGCUUACUCGAAACUUGAGGCAUGUUUCUUUAAUAUAAUUUUCUUUUCUUCUUGGAUGUUUAUAGCGCAUACGUGAUCUUUUGAAGUACUGCUAUAGAGAGGAAGACAAGUUCUUCUCAUUUAACAUCUUUUUUUUAAUUUAUUUUUGUUAAACUUUUAGAUCAAUCGUUUGAAUUCUCCUCAAUAUUUGCUUGCUUCAUGUUCUCUUUGUUUUUGUGCAACAGUAUGAUCUUGGAAUAGGAAUGCUGCAAGACAAUUCAAAUAGAAGGUUAGUUUCAUCAUAUUAUAUGGUUAAAAUUACUUUAAAAUUAUAUGGUUAAAAUUACUUUGUAAUGGUUGACUGUCACUGUUGUUUGCAUUGGCAGAUCAUGGAUGGAAUUCCUGCAAGAGCCAAGCACAAACUGUUGUCAGCGCUUCUCUGUUGAUGUUUCGUUUCUCGUUGCCACCUUUCUUGCAGACCGGUUAGGGUUAGGUUACACCAUCUGCUUCAGGUGAUUUCGGGAAUGUGGAAUGUUUCCUCUUCAUUUGAGAAGAAAGAGAGAGUGUUUUGUUGGAAUAUUACUGGUGCGUAGGUUUAUGCAUGGCUUUUCAGGGCUCAAAUCAAGGGGAAAAAAUAGACUAAUGGGCUGGUAAAUUUAUGUUCUGGUAAAAAUAGACUAAUGGCUUUAUUUAGUUCCACGAAUCCUGGUGAACUCCGGAACUUAAAAUGAAAUCCUAAAAUUGUUUCUCUAACCUCCUAUCUCAAUAUGGGCUGUUCUUUUUUUUUUUCUGGUCAACUAUUUCCCCCAACUUACGGACCCAUCUCGGCCUGCAGGCCUGCCGAGGCCUCUUCUCUCCUUUCGUCGUUCGGUCCCUCUAAUUUCGCUCUUGUGCUUGCGCACCAGGCGCCAUCUCUCACCGCGCCAGGAGCUUUGCAGCGCCAGACGGCCCCGCUCCACACCACAAUAUUCUUCCUUGGAACCUGCGGGCUCCGCUGAGCCGCUGCGUGAUCUUCUAUUCGCGACUCUGUGUACCUCGCCAUGUUACAAUUGCCUUCACUUUACUUCAUCAUUGCUCUCUAACCUAGGUACUCGGUUAUGAACAGCGCGCCGGCUAAGCGAGUACCCGGUGAAGGCGAGCGCAACGAGCCCUAGCACAUGGCAUCCAUCGAAAAUACAGAAUUUUCAGAGUAUGGAAUUUUCAGUCCGCGGUGUGGCCAACAUUAUCUUUAUAUGAUUUUAUUUGCAAACCGAGUUUUUAAGUAACAACGUAAAUAAAACACUCUCGUAUCAUUGCUCUAAAGGGGGAGUAAGGAAUAACAGAAAUAACGUCGUGCCAUUCCCCAGAAACAAAGAACAACUGUAAAAAUUGGUUCUAGAUGAAGCUAAAUUGACCAUCGAUGGCGAUUGUGUCAACACGGCAAACAUCCAUACAGCUAGCAUUGACUGACUUGGCUGAUAAAUCCAGGCCACUUCACUGUUGAGUACUUCAGGAAACUCGACAGGUCUUAUGACAAGUCUCGGUUGACUCGAAUUAUUGACCUUAGGACACUGACCUUGAUUUCCUCAUCCCCUUUCCUAUUGUCUUGCGGUCCAGAUGCCCAUUACCCAGUGCCUACCAGUGUGUGCUUCUCCCUCCGAUUGUACAUACGUGCGGGUCCCACAUAUCAGCCCCUUCCAUCCUCUUUACUUUAUAAUCUCCAAAGCAUGGGCCGCCCUUCUUUGUUACCUGUAUGGCUGUAUCACCUCCCCUGCCGAUGAGUGCCCAUGCAUGCUGAUACUUUGGUACCAUCUGCUCCAACCAAGCACCACCUCUCAUGCAAGUCAACAUAGAUGGUAUUUGGUGUCAAUUCACUGCUUAUAUUUUUAAAUGAAUUUAAUAUAAAUUUUGAUUAUCUAUUGCUUCUAAAUUCAUGUCGAAAUUAAUUUGAUAAUUUUUUAACCUAUAAUAUCCUAUACUUCAUUUUAUGAGGAAACUAUCAGAAAAUGAAUUGUAAUUUUUAUGACUCAUAUCUAUUUGCUCUCUUUAUUAGAUAUUUUGCUUUCCAAUUGUAUGUAAAUCAAACUUUUAUUUUAUUUUUAUCAUUCGGAGUUUUAGUUUUUUUAUUACUUCCAUGUCAAGAUGAUAUUCUGGACAAGAUUCCAAUCAACCUUUUGAAAAUCUAACCACUAUUGACAGCUUUUAGAAUAUUCAGUUUGAAAAUUAGAAUACUCAUUGAAAGACAUAAUAUAAUAUUUUGUAUGUUUAUAUAAUAUCUUCUUACUGAAAAUAGCGGCCACACAGCUAUGUUAUCCAAAACACCUUCUUUUCUUUAAGAACAGGGGAACGAUUGUUUUUUUCCUAUUUUAUUAAUAUGAUAUUUUAUAGUCAAUCCGGAGACUUCUUUUCUCUUAGCUUUGCCUUAUUAAAAUAACAAUUGAAGAUUCCGUAACUAUGGUUGGAGCCAGAUAUUUACUUCCAUGGCCCCAGUUCGCUGGUCUUCCUCUCGAGUCAGCGACCGGAAUGUGUGGUUCAGAGCAACCAGAGAACAGAAUAUCUACACACGAUUGAUUGGAAUUUGGAAACUGCAAACCAGUAGCGCAAUGGCUCCUGCCAAGGAUCGCCUCCACAACCUUCUGGUCCUGCUCUUGUUCAUAGGUUGCCUCUUCAUAGAUGCUGCCGCCAAGCUUAACACCACAGCGCCUUGCCUCCCGGAUCAAGCUUCUUCCCUCCUCCGGCUAAAAGCUUCCUUCAUCGGUGACAACCUACCAUCAUGGCAAGCUGCAACAGAUUGUUGCCACUGGGAGGGCGUCACCUGCGACAUGGCCUUUGGAAGAGUCAUUUCUCUUGACCUCAGUGAGUUCCACCUAAUGAGCAGGCGUCUUGAUCCUGCGCUCUUCAACCUCACCUCUCUCAGGAACCUCAGCCUUGCAUCUGUUGACUUCAGUGGAUAUUUCAUUUCGCUCCCGGCUUUUGGGUUUGAGCGGCUCACGGAUAUCAUUUACCUCAACCUCUCUGAUACCGGUUUUAAGGGUAAGAUCCCAAUUGGAAUUGCGUGCCUCAAGAACCUUGUGACCAUUGACUUGUCUGGUAAUUACAACUUGUAUUUUGAACGGCCAAGUUUCCAAACCAUCAUGGCAAAUAUGAGCAAUCUGAGGGAGCUUUAUCUUGAUGAAGUGGGUUUACAGGACAUCGGAUCGGAUUGGUCCACUGUUUUAGCAGACUCCGUUCCCCAGCUACAGAUUCUUAGUUUGUCCCGCUGUGAUAUAUCAGGUUCUAUCCACCCUUCAUUCUCAAGGCUUCGCUCACUUACAGCGAUCAACCUCGGAUACAAUGAUGGACUCACCGGCGGCAAAGUCCCGGAGUACUUUUCUGAACUAUCUUCCUUGACCAUUUUAGACAUAUCAGGAAAUCAAUUUGAAGGGCAAUUUCCAACAAAAAUAUUCCAGCUAAAAAGUUUGAGGACGCUUGAUUUGUCCUGGAACCCCAUGCUUUCUACGAGAUUAACAUAUUUCCCAGCUGGAAACAAUUUGGAAGUACUAAAUCUAGAAGGGACCAAUUUCUCUUAUGACACGCCAUCCUCGUUUGGUAAUCUCGAGUCUUUACAGACAUUGGGGCUUAGCACGAUGGGCAUUGAUAAUGAACUCGCCUCUUUGAUAUCUGAGCUUCCAGCAUUGGAUGACCUGCAACUCUUUGGGUCAGGUUUGGAGAACCCGGUAUUAUCUUGGGUCAGCAAUCUUACCCAAUUGACAAACCUGCAGCUUGAUGGUUAUGACUUCACUAAAUCGGUUCCCACUUGGAUCGGCAAAUUGACAAGGCUGGAAAGUUUGACGAUAGAGGAUUGCAGUUUCUCCGUGCCAAUACCAUACCAGAUUAGAAAUCUUACUAAAUUGGCAGCGCUGCAGUUCUCAGGUUGCGACUUCGCUGAGCAAAGAAUGCCAUCAUGGAUAGGCAAUCUUACAAAGUUGACUUCUUUGGUCAUUGGUGGUUGCAGUUUAUCUGGGCCAAUACCCUCAACAAUUGGGAACCUGAUCCAACUUGAAGAGUUGAAGUUCUCCUAUACUGACAUCAGCGGUGAGACUAUGUCCCAGUUACUUUCUUUCUAGAUACCUCAUUUUAUUUUGCAACUGUAGACAGACGCUUUAAUUUCUUUAAUUCGCUCUUGCUCCUCAUACUCGAACUAGGAAGCAGGGGAUACCUACUAUAUGACACGUCAUGCAUACACUGUUAAAAAAAAUAAUGAAUUUAAGUGAAGAAGAAAAUUUAACACUACCAAAUCAAUAGAGUGACCUUCAGAAAAAAAGAAAAAGGCUUUGGCUAGUAAUUUUCGGCGCUGUUGAGAAAAGAAAAACCCUGAUAUUUUCACUUUGAGUCUAUGACCAAAUUUUCAUAGUUUCACAGUUUGGAAGGUUAGAUGCCUUUAACACUAGUACACACGAGUCACGACUCAGGUCUUCUUUUCCUUCUUUUUUUUCUCUCUUGACAUGAUUCAUUUCAGAUACCAUAAUACAGUAUUGGUCCAUUUAUAAAUAUACCAAGGAAUAUUAAUUUUUUCGGACAGGCCUUUUUUAUUAUUUUGAUCAGAUUUACAUGUAAAUGUUCUCUAACAAGAAAUCAACUUUAGUAUAUAUCAUUUGUAGAUCGAAACACUGGAUCUGUAAAAUAUAUAUUGAAUAUGUUGUGUUAACGUUGUUCAACUUUCUCCGGUCUAAGGCCUCUUUGAAACAAAGGAACAACAAAAGAACUAUUGAAAAACCUGAGCGUGGUCUCUCUCUCCCUCUCUUUCUCUCUCAAACCUGAGCGUGGUCUGGAUUUUCUACUGAUUUGUGAAGGAAGAGGACCCUUUCUUUCUUGUGGAAUUGGAAUUGGAUGGUGCAUUCCCAAAUUCCAAAAUCCAAACGGUACUUUCCUUUCCUCCGGAACGCAGUUACUUUAGUGUCCUUGCCCCCUGUCAGUUUCGUCGCUUUUUUAGGCUAGUCUCAAUGCACAACUUCAUUGCAUUGUUACCAAAACUGCAAACUUGGUAACUGUGCCUGUUGGAUUUCAUGGGAAUGAAACUCCUCUCCCAUUUCAUGAAACUCCAUCCUCUCUCCUCAUAAAGACUUUGCCAAAUCAGCAAAAUUGCUGAUGUGGUAUAGAAAUUAAUGCUGAUGAAACUUUUUAUAAAACUUUCACUGAGACUAGCCUUAGAUUGCAGCAACAUUCGGAUAUGUUUAGCUCCAAUGUAAUGAGAUGCUAAUUUGGUUCAAUUUCAUACUAGCACUUUCAGUGUGAAAAAACAUUAAUAAAGUCUGCAACAUUCUGACUGUUGGUAUUCUACCCUAACAUGCAGGAAAAAUUCCGAAGUCUUUGUUCACUCUUCCAGGCCUGCAGCAUCUUCAUCUAAUUAAGAAUCAGCUUGUUGGCUCACUAGAAGACAUUCCUGCUCCUUUAUCGUCACCAUUGCGGGAGAUUGAUUUAGGAGGUAAUCAAUUGACAGGCCCAAUACCAAAAUCACUUUUUCAGCUCACGAAUCUUGAGCGUCUCAGUCUUGAAUCGAAUAAAUUGACAGGCACAAUAGAACUUGGCUCUAUAUGGAGGUUGAAAAAUCUCACUUAUCUUAACCUGGGUAACAAUUUGAUAUCACUCGUAGAAAAAGAAGGUGAUAUGAUAUUCUCUUAUUCCCUUAAAAUCCAAGAGUUAUACCUUCCAUCUUGCAACCUUACAAAAUUUCCGGAAUCAUUAAAAUAUCUUGACACUAUUCAAGUUCUCGACCUUUCUAAUAACCAAAUCGAAGGGGCCAUACCUAGUUGGGUGUGGGAGAAUCCCCUUGUUGAGUUGGAGCUCUCACGCAACAUGUUUACUACUUUAGAGAAGUCUCCUGCUGUUCAGAUGACACAUUUAGUUUUUCUUAAUCUCAGUGUUAAUAGAAUUCAAGGAAGCAUACCAAUACCAUCAACUCCAUCCGACCUGGUUCUGUUGGAUUACUCAAAUAAUGAUUUCUCUACCAUUGAACCUAACUUUGGCAGGUAUCUUAGAAAUGCCAUCUACAUCAAUUUGUCAAAAAAUAAAUUAAGUGGCCAUGUACCACUUUCAUUUUGUAGUUUAAGCCAACUUGAGCUCAUGGACUUAUCUUACAAUAACUUUAGUGGACCAAUUCCAUCAUGUCUUAUGGAAAGAGUUGACCUGAGCAUAUUGAAGUUAAGAGGAAACAAAUUACAUGGCGUGCUACCUGAAAAUAUUAGAGAAGGAUGUAAGCUUCAGACAAUUGAUUUCAAUGAAAAUCAAAUUGAAGGUGCGCUACCUAGAUCACUAGCAAAUUGCCAAGACUUAGAGGUUCUUGAUGUUGGCAGUAAUCAUAUUGUAGAUUCAUUUCCAUCAUGGAUGGGUACUCUUCCAAAGCUUCGAAUUCUUGUGUUGAGAUCUAACCAACUGUAUGGCACUAUAAGGGAUCUUCGCAGUGGCUACCAACACUUCACAAGUUUGCAAAUAGUUGAUUUGGCCUCCAACCAUUUCUCUGGUGUCUUACAUUCUGAAUGGUUUGAGAAUUUUAUUUCAAUGAUGAAUAACAACAAUGAUGAGGGGCAGAUAUUAGAGCACGAAACAAAUGCAUCACGGGCACCAUUGUAUCAAGAUACUGUCACUAUCACAUUCAAAGAUGCUGAUUUAAGCAUCACCAAAAUCCUUACUACUUUCAAAGUAAUUGAUUUGUCAAAUAACUCAUUUGAGGGUUCCAUUCCAAGUUCAAUUGGAAGGCUUGCUUCACUUCACGGACUUAACAUGUCGCACAAUAACUUCACGGGAGAAAUUCCAUCACAACUUGGGAGGUUAACAAGGUUGGAAUCAAUAGAUCUCUCUUGCAACAAUCUCUCGGGAGAAAUUCCACAGGAGUUUACCUCCCUAACUUCUCUUUCCUGGUUGAACCUUUCGUAUAACAACUUGACGGGAAGAAUACCGCAGGGAAACCAAUUCUUGUCAUUUCCCAGCAGUUCGUUUGAAGGCAAUGCUGGUCUAUGUGGAAUUCAGCUUUCCAAGGAAUGUGACACUCGUCCAGAUUCAACCACCCCAAGCACAUUGGCUCCACAACGCAAUACUUUGUGGCAGGAUAGACUUGAUGCCAUCAUUUUGUUCCUCUGUGCUGGCUUGGGCUUUGGCGUGGGUUUUGCAUUGGCAAUCAUAUUCGGUCCCUUUUACCACAUAGAAGAAUGGCUUUGCAAGCAUUUGUAAUAGUAAUAUAAGUUUUCAACAAGAAUAAUUAUGUAUGUUUGUCUUGUUCUCGUUAUUAGAUGAGACAUUUUAAAUCCACUCAGUUGUAAUUACGUUGUAACUAGUCCAUCAACCCGUACUUCCACAUGAGCUAGUAUUUUCAAAAGCUGUUGUAUUUGAAAAUUAUUUAGAAAUUAAACACCUUGCUAAUAAUCAAAAUUAUUUACUUAUUACUCUCUCAUUUUUCAACACUUCAACGUAGUACUCAAAUAGAUGUGUACUUAUUUUUAUCCAGUUGUGAUUGAUUUUUAAUUAGUAAUUACUCUAUACACUUUUUCAUCCACAUUCACACUUUUUUAUUUUAUAUCACACCUCCAUAAAUUGUGUUUAGCAUCAAAAUUAAUAUUUUUCAUCACUUCCUCACAUACAUGUAUAAAUGGUCUACAUGGUGUCAUUCAUCAUGUCUAUAUACCUUAAUUUAAUAUUUCUAUAUUAACAAUGACAUAAACUGGUAAUUUAAAAUCAUAUAUUAGUUUAUUUUUGGAUAUUUCUGUAUGAUGCACAUGCAUGAAGAUAAUUAAAUUAAGAAUUAUCUGUUUACUUUAGAUUAUUUUUAAAAACGACGUACAUGGGUAACUUAGAUACAAAUUUAGAAUGACAUUUUAAGUUAUGCUUUAUAACGAUAGUCAUGAUUAAAUUGGAUGAAGAUUAUGGGUUACUUUACAUUAUCUUUUAUAAUGGCAGGUAAAUUAGAUAUAGGUUUAGGGUUUAUAAUGAUAGUGGUGGGUAAGUUUUUAGAAAAUAUAAUAGACCAAUGACUAUGAUUAAUAUAGUUUGCAUGAUUGAUAUUUGAUAUUUAUGAUUAUUGUGAGAAUUUCUAGGAUUUGUGUUUUUUAGCGUAUCUCUUGAGAACUAAUGCAGAGUCUCCAAUGAAAAAAAAAUAAGGCCACAUCGCUAAAAAAAUUACCUUGAGCUAUUUCUCAUUUAUUAAAUAUUGAAACACAAUAGUUAUAUAGAUAUAUAAUUAUGAUCGAUAGAUUUUAAUUGGUAAUUUCUCUUCAACAUUUUCAUCCACAUUUGUAUUGAAGAUAUGCGCUUGAAUUUGUUUAAUGGAUCUUAAGUUUGAGCUAUCAUUUUAACAUAGAAAUUUGUAUUUCCAUCACUUUCUCUAUAUCUUUAUGAAUGGUGACACACAUCAUGCCUAUAUACCUUAAUUAUUAUAUCGUAUACCUACAGCGUAAGAAAUAGACGAUUUAAUAUCGUAUUUUGAUGUAUAUUUUUAUUUAAGGUGAUUUGGAUUCAAAUGUAGUUUACCUCAUGUUAUUUCUAAAUAGCAUAUGUGGGUAAUAAAGAUGCAAAUUUAAGGGGUCAUGUUAACUUAUUUUUUAAGUAUUAGUGGUGGGAUAUUUAGUUGCAAAUUUAGGGGGUUAUUUUAAAUGUUAUUUAUAAUGGUAUAAGUGGGUAACUUUGAUAAAGAUUAGGUGGUUACUUUAGUUUAGUUUAUAUAAUGGUAGAGGUGGGUAAUUUAGAUAUAGACUAGCAAAAUAUCGUGCGUUGCUACGGUAAAAGAUCAAUUCUAAUGAUAUUUUUUAUUUCCAUCACUAAAUUUUUAUUCCACUUAUUGGACGUCUACACAUUUAAUAGAAAACUAAAAGAAUUUUGACUUAAUUAUUUCCUUCAACUCAAAUACCCAUUACAUUAAAAUAUUUUUUAUUCAAGCAAGAGAGUUAAAUCAGCCUCAUAUGGCCACCGAUGGGGCUCUUUAGUCCUUCUAGCCAUGUAAUAUCUUUUCACAUGUAUUUCAUCAAACAGGAGACGGCACGCUCAAACUUUUCCAUCAUGCACAUCCCGUUGUAGGUACGGUGGCUUAGGUUACACCUUAUUUGGAUGGGCUAUAACUACCUUUUAAAUGGUUAAUUAGGGGGUGUUUAGUAGCACUCAACUUCAAUUUUUUUAGCUCCACUCUACCAACUCCACUCCAGUUUAAUUUUUUUAGCUCCACUCCACUUCAACUCCACUCUACCAACUUGAGAAAAAUAAUAAAGUUGUCUACGUACUUGGCAGAAACAUGCCGUGCCCCCCCCCCCCCCCCCCCCCCCGCAAUAGCAAACCAACAGGCUGCCUUCUUCACCGGUCAAGCAAGCUGCUUGCUCCUCUCUCAAAUCCGAACAACAGUGCAACGCCCGAACAACAGUGCAACGACGGGCGGAGAGCCUGGCGCGAGCGGAGCAGCAGCCUAACCCUGGCCAUGACCUCCACCCCGACGAUCCAAGCAGCAGCAGCGUGGCCCCUGCUCCGGCCCCGACCCCAGCGAGGUGACCCAACCGUGGAGGGCAGGGGCGGCGCGGCCACGGUGGGACCUCCCCUGGUCGCCUCGGCGGGCAAGAGGAUCCUGAAGCCCUAAAACGUGCCGAAAGCAGUUACCUGAGACACUGUUACAGUAACCUUUGGGGGUGGAGCAUCACAGCAAUACAGCACAGAGUAAAAUCUCUGAGGAUUCCAUGCUUUUUGCGACAGCAACUCUCGUUAGUACGUACAGGCAAGUGAUGCAAAACAUGGCAUAACUACAUCUAAAGCAUUAUCUGCUCUUUACAUGCUGAUUUUAACUCUGUACAGCAAGGAAACGGGAGCAUUUUUUUCCCCUGAAAAUCUGUAUAGUUCUGAAGUGUUGUACAUCUUCGUAAAAGAUUAAUUGAAAAAUGAUAUAGCACAACAUACAACCACACUUGCUAAUUCAAACGACACGAAGCAACACCUCAUAUAGAUCCAAUUCCAACAAAUAUAAGCAGAACAUAUGUCCCAUUUUCCAUCAAACAAGUUUUGUACAAAAGUUCUAUAAGCGGAUUAGCACCACCUCAUAUCUUUUUUACAGUAUACAACCAUAAGAAAAAUAGAAAAAUAAGAGUCGCCAGAUUUCUGUGGCAUGCGAGUGCGAUAGGGUAGCUGAGGUCACCUAUACGAGGGGCGAUAGGGGGAUCUGCUACGGAUGGGGCUUGGACUUCGGUCCCUGCAGCCCCUCCGGCCGCGGUACCGCGCGGGGGGUGGCGACCGCGACAGGUCGCGCGGCAUCGCGCGCGACGAGAUCUAGAGCCUCCGCGGAGCCCGGAACCCCACGGAUCUGGCCGAGACCCGACGAUCGGAGAGGCACGGUGGUUGAAAGGAGGUCAGUGAAGGGGGGUUGAAGAUGCCGGUAGCUCAGCACAGUGGCACAACUGAGCAUUCCUUUCCUCAAUCUCCCGAUUCAUGUCAUCCCACUUCUGAUCUAGUUCCUCGAGCUUGGCCAGUAUCACAGCACACAUCUCCUCCGUCAUGUUCACUCGUGUUCCGAUGCGGUGGUAGUGGUGGUUUUUUGAUCGAAAUAGUUGUGAACCAAAUGUCACACCCUAGAUGCAACUCACAGAACAAAUUAUCCCCCAACGAUGAACUACGGAAUAUAUAUAUGAAGUAUACUAGAAUUUGGAUACACAUGGAUGAGGAACUCGCUAGUGUUCUCGAGCCGAAGCUUGCCACCGCAGAGCCAAUGAGUCCCAAAUCCAGUUCUUCUUUCCCUCACGACGACUUUUUAAUCCUCUUACAUGCUGCGCCAGCUAUGCUGCAGCGAUGCCCGUUCAUGGGCCUAUCUUAACUACCUUAGCCAUUCGGGCCCAACAAGGAUAAUGUUGGGCUUCCGUACCUGAUGGCCCACAACUUCGGCUUUACUGCACUUUAGAUAAAUAUCAUGUACGGUUCACUAGAGAAGCCUCCACCAGUGAUAGUUGCUAGUUAGUACAGGUCUUAUCUACAACCUUGCAUUAGCUAUCUCACUCUAGUUUGGCUAGCUGUCUGCUUACUCGAAGCUUGAGGCAUGUUUCUUUAAUAUAGUUUUCUUUUCUUCUUGGAUGUUUAUAGCACAUACGUGAUCUUUUGAAGUACUGCUAUAGAGAGGAAGACAAGUUCUUCUCAUUUAACAUCUUUUUUUUUUCAAUUUAUUUUUGUUAAACUUUUAGAUCAAUCGUUUGAAUUCUCCUCAAUAUUUGCUUGCUUCAUGUUCUCUUUGUUUUUGUGCAACAGUAUGAUCUUGGAAUAGGAAUGCUGCAAGACAAUUCAAAUAGAAGGUUAGUUUCAUCAUAUUAUAUGGUUAAAAUUACUUUAAAAUUAUAUGGUUAAAAUUACUUUGUAAUGGUUGACUGUCACUGUUGUUUGCAUUGGCAGAUCAUGGAUGGAAUUCCUGCAAGAGCCAAGCACAAACUGUUGUCAGCGCUUCUCUGUUGAUGUUUCGUUUCUCGUUACCACCUUUCUUGCAGACCGGUUAGGGUUAGGUUACACCAUCUGCUUCAGGUGAUUUCGGGAAUGUGGAAUGUUUCCUCUUCAUUUGAGAAGAAAGAGAGAGUGUUUUGUUCGAAUAUUACAGGUGCGUAUGUUUAUGCAUGGCUUUUCAGGGCUCAAAUCAAGGGGAAAAAAUAGACUAAUGGGCUGGUAAAUUUAUGUUCUGGUAAAAAUAGACUAAUGGCUUUAUUUAGUUCCAAGAAUCCUGGUGAACUCCGGAACUUAAAAUGAAAUCCUAAAAUUGUUUCUCUAACCUCCUAUCUCAAUAUGGGCUGUUCUUUUUUUUUUUCUUUCUGGUCAACUAUUUCCCCCAACUUACGGACCCAUCUCGGCCUGCAGGCCUGCCGAGGCCUCUUCUCUCCUUUCGUCGUUCGGUCCCUCUAAUUUCGCUCUUGUGCUUGCGCACCAGGCGCCAUCUCUCACCGCGCCAGGAGCUUUGCAGCGCCAGACGGCCCCGCUCCACACCACAAUAUUCUUCCUUGGAACCUGCGGGCUCCGCUGAGCCGCUGCGUGAUCUUCUAUUCGCGACUCUGUGUACCUCGCCGUGUUACAAUUGCCUUCACUUUACUUCAUCAUUGCUCUCUAACCUAGGUACUCGGUUAUGAACAGCGCGCCGGCUAAGCGAGUACCCGGUGAAGGCGAGCGCAACGAGCCCUAGCACAUGGCAUCCAUCGAAAACUACAUAAUUUUCAGAGUAUGGAAUUUUCAGUCCGCGGUGUGGCCAACAUUAUCUUUAUAUGAUUAUAUUUGCAAACAGAGUUUUUAAGUAACAACGCAAAUAAAACACUCUCGUGUCAUUGCUCUAAAGGGGGAGAAAGGAAUAACAGAAACAACACCGUGCCAUUCCCCAGAAACAAAGAACAACGGUAAAAGUGGUUCUAGAUGAAGCUUAAAUUGACCAUCGAUGGCGAUUGUAUCGACACGGCAAACAUCCAGACAGCUAGCAUUGACUGACUUGGCCUAUUGAGUACUCCGCGGAACUCGGUACGUCUUAUGACAAGUCUCGUUUGACUCGAAUUAUUGACCUUCACUGUCCUUCGUCAUUGCUCUCUAACCUAGGUACUCGGUUAUGAACAACGUGCCGGCUAAGUGAGUACUCGGUGAAGGCGAGCCCAACUUGCCCCAGCACAUCGCAUCCAUCGAAAAUACAGAAUUUCCAAAGUAUGGAAUUUUCAGUGUGCGUUGUGGCCAACACUAUCUUUAUAUGUUUUAUUUGCAAACCGAGUUUUUAAGUAACAACGCAAAUAAAACACUCUCGUAUCAUUGCUCUAAAGGGGGAGUAAGGAAUAACAGAAAUAACGUCGUGCCAUUCCCCGGAAACAAAGAACAACCGUAAAAAUUGGUUCUAGAUGAAGCUAAAUUGAUCAUCGAUGGCGAUUGUAUCGACACGGCAAACAUCCAGACAGCUAGCAUUGACUGACUUGGCUGAUACAUCCACUUCACUGUUGAGUACUCCAGGGAACUCGACAGGUCUUAUGACAAGUCUCGGUUGACUCGAAUUGUUGACCUUAGGACAGUGACCUUGAUUUCCUCAUCCCCUUUCCUAUUGUCUUGCGGUCCUGAUGCCCAUUACCCAGUGCCUACCAGUGUGUGCUUCUCCCUCCGAUUGUACAUACGUGCGGGUCCCACAUGUCAGCCCCUUCCAUCCUCUUUACUUUAUAAUCUCCAAAGCAUGGGCCGCCCUUCUUUGUUACCUGUAUGGCUGUAUCACCUCCCCUGCCGAUGAGUGCCCAUGCAUGCUGAUACUUUGGUACCAUCUGCUCCAACCAAGCACCACCUCUCAUGCAAGUCAACAUAGAUGGUAUUUGGUGUCAAUUCACUGGUUAUAUUUUUAAAUGAAUUUAAUAUAAAUUUUGAUUAUCUAUUGCUUCUAAAUUCCUGUCGAAAUUAAUUUGAUAAUUUUUUAACCUAUAAUAUCCUAUACUUCAUUUUAUGAGGAAACUAUCAGAAAAUGAAUUGUAAUUUUUAUGACUCAUAUCUAUUUCCUCUCUUUAUUAGAUAUUUUGCUUUCCAAUUGUAUGUAAUCAAACUUUUAUUUAUUUUUAUCAUUCGGAGUUUUAGUUUUUUAUUACUUCCAUGUCAAGAUGAUAUUCUGGACAAGAUUCCAAUCAACCUUUUGAAAAUCUAACCACUAUUGACAGCUUUUAGAAUAUUCAGUUUGAAAAUUUAGAAUACUCAUUGAAAGACAUAAUAUAAUAUUUUGUAUGUUUAUAUAAUAUCUUCUUACUGAAAAUAGUGGCCACACAGCUAUGUUAUCCAAAACACCACCUUUUCUUUAAGAACGGGGGAACGAUUGUUUUUUUUCUAUUUUAUUAAUAUGAUAUUUUAUAGUCAAUCCGGAGACUUGUUUUCUCUUAGCUUUGCCUUAUUAAAAUAACAAUUGAAGAUUCCGUAAUGUGUGGUUCAGAUAUUUACUUCCAUGCGAGUUUAUAUUUUGGCUCCAGUUCGCUGGUCUUCCUCUCGAGUCAGCGACCGGAACGAGAGAACAGAAUAUCUACACACGAUUGAUUGGAAUUUGGAAACUGCAAACCAGUAGCGCAAUGGCUCCUGCCAUGGAUCGCCUCCACAACCUUCUGGUCCUGCUCUUGUUCAUAGGUUGCCUCUUCAUAGAUGCUGCCGCCAAGCUUAACACCACAGCGCCUUGCCUCCCGGAUCAAGCUUCUUCCCUCCUCCGGCUAAAAGCUUCCUUCAUCGGUGACAACCUACCAUCAUGGCAAGCUGCAACAGAUUGUUGCCACUGGGAGGGCGUCACCUGCGACAUGGCCUUUGGAAGAGUCAUUUCUCUUGACCUCAGUGAGUUCCACCACCUAAUGAGCAGUCGUCUUGAUCCUGCGCUCUUCAACCUCACCUCUCUCAGGAACCUCAGCCUUGCAUCUGUUGACUUCAGAGGAGUCUCGCUCCCGGCUUUUGGGUUUGAGCGGCUCACGGAUAUCAUUUACCUCAACCUCUCUGAUACCGGUUUUAUGGGUAAGAUCCCAAUUGGAAUUGCGUGCCUCAAGAACCUUGUGACCAUUGACUUGUCUUAUAAUUACGAAUUGUAUUUUGAACGGCCAAGUUUCCAAACCAUCAUGGCAAAUAUGAGCAAUCUGAGGGAGCUUUAUCUUGAUGAAGUGGGUUUACAGAACAUCGGAUCGGAUUGGUCCACUGUUUUAGCAGACUCCGUUCCCCAGCUACAGAUUCUUAGCUUGCCCUGGUGUGGUUUAUCAGGUUCUAUCCACCCUUCAUUCUCAAGGCUUCGCUCACUUACGGUGAUCAACCUCAGAUACAAUGAUGGACUCACCGGCAAAGUCCCGGAGUACUUUUCUGAACUAUCUUCCUUGACCAUUUUAGACAUAUCAGGAAGUCAAUUUGAAGGGCAAUUUCCAACAAAAAUAUUCCAGCUAAAAAGUUUGAGGACGCUUGAUUUGUCCUGGAACCCCAUGCUUUCUGUGAGAUUAACAUAUUUCCCAGCUGGAAACAAUUUGGAAGUACUAAAUCUAGAAGGGACCAAUUUGUCUUAUGACACGCCAUUGGGGCAAUCUCGAGUCUUUAAAGACAUUGGGGCUUAGCACGAUGGGAAUUGAUAAUGAACUCUUCUCUUUGAUAUCUGAGCUUCCAGCAUUGGAUUACCUGCGACUCACUGGAUCAGAUUUGGAGAACCCGGUAUUAUCUUGGGUCAGCAAUCUUACCCAAUUGACAAACCUGGUGCUUGAAGGUUAUGACUUCUCAAACUCGGUUCCCACUUGGAUCGGCAAAUUGACAAGGCUGGAAAUUUUGACAAUAUGGGAUUGCAGUUUCUCCGUGCCAAUACUGUACCAGAUUAGAAAUCUUACUAAAUUGGCAGCGCUGGAGUUCACUGGUUGCGACUUAUCUGAGCAAACAAUGCCAUCAUGGAUAGGCAAUCUUACAAAGUUGACUUCUUUGACCAUUGAAGAUUGCAGUUUAUCUGGGCCAAUACCCUCUACAAUUGGAAACCUGAUCCAACUUGAAGAGUUGGUGUUCUGGGAUACUAACAUCAGCGGUGAGACUAUGUCCCUGUUACUUUCUUUCUAGAUACCUCCUUUUAUUUUGCAACUGUAGACAGAUCAUACACCUACUAUAUGACACGCCAUGCAUACACCGUUAAAAAAAUAAUAAUGAAUUUAAGUGAAGAAGAAAAUUUAACACUACCAAAUCGACAGAGUGAUCUUCAGAAAACAAGAAAAAGGCUUUGGCUAGUAAUUUUCGGCAAUGUUGAGAAAAGAAAAACACUGAUAUUUUCACUUUGAGUCUAUGACCAAUUUCCAUAGUUUAGUAGUUUGGAAGGUUAGAUGCCUUUAACACUAGUACACACGAGUCACGACUCAGGUCCUCUUUUCCUUCUUUUUUCUGUAAAUAUAGUAUUGGUCCAUUUACAAAUAUACCAAGGAAUAUUAAUUUUUUUGGACAGGCCUUUUUUUAUUAUUUUGACCAGAUUUACAUGUAAAUGUUCUCUAACGAUAAAUCAACUUUAGAAUAUAUCAUUUGUAGAUCGAAACACUGGAUCUGUUAAAAUAUAUAUUGAAUAUGUUGUGUUAAAAUUGUUCGGCUUUCCCUGGUCUAAGGCCUCUUUGAAACAAAGGAACAACAAAAGGAAGGACUAGGUUUUUUGAGCAUGGUCUCUCUCCCUCUCUCUCUCUCAAACCUGAGCGUGGUCUGGAUUUUCUACUUGUUAUGAUUUGUGAAGGAAGAGGACCCUUUCUUGUGGAAUUGGAAUUGGAGGGUGCAUUCCAAAAUUCCAAAAUUCAAACGGUUCUUUCCUUUCCUCCAGAACGCAGUUACUUUUGUGUCCUUACCCCCUCAGUGUCGUGGCUUCUUUAGGCCAGUCUCAAUGCACAAUUUCAUUGCAAUGUUACAAAAAUUGCAAAUUUGGUAACUGUGCAGGUAGGGUUUCAUGAGGAUGAAACUCCUCUCUCAUUUCAUGAAACUCCAUCCUCUCUCUCCUCAUAAAGACCUUGACAAAUCAGCAAAAUUGCUGAUGUGGUAUAGAAAUUAAUGCUGACGAAACUUUUUAUAACACUUCCACUAAGACUGGCCUUAGAUUGCAGCAACAUUCGGAUAUGUCUAGCUCCAAUGUAAUGAGAUGCUAAUUUGUUUCAAUUUCAUACUAGCGCUUUUAGUGUGAAGAAGCAUUAAUAAAGUCUACAACAUUCUAACUGUUGGUAUUCUACCCUAACAUGCAGGAAAAAUUCCGAAGUCUUUGUUCGCUCUUCCAGUCCUGCAGCAGCUUCAUCUAGUUAGGAAUCAGCUUGUUGGCCCACUAGAAGACAUUCCUGCUCUUUUAUCGUCACCAAUGCGGGAGAUCGAUUUAGGAGGUAAUCAAUUGACAGGCCCAAUACCAAAAUCACUUUUUCAGCUCACGAAUCUUGAGCGUCUUCUUCUAGCUGAGAAUCAGCUUGUUGGUUCACUAGAAGACAUUCCUGCUCCUUUAUCAUCACCAUUGCGGGAGAUCGAUUUACAAGGUAAUCAAUUGACAGGUCCAAUACCAAAAUCACUUUUUCAGCUCACGAAUCUUGAGUAUCUCAAUCUUGGCUCGAAUAAAUUGACAGGCACAAUAGAACUUGGCUCUAUACGGAGGUUGAAAAAUCUCAUUAUUCUCGACCUGGGUAACAAUAUGAUAUCACUCGUAGAAAAAGAAGGUGAUACGAUAUUCUCUUAUUCCCUUAAAAUCCAGACCUUAUACCUUGCAUCUUGCAACCUUACAAAAUUUCCGGAACCAUUAAAAUAUCUUGACACUAUUCAAUAUCUCGACCUUUCCAAUAACCAAAUCGAAGGGGCCAUACCAAGUUGGGUGUGGGAGAAACCACUGCUUCAGUUGAACCUCUCACACAACAUGUUUACUACUUUAGAGAAGUCUCCUACUGUUCAGAUGACACAUUUAAAUUCUCUUGAUCUCAGUUCUAAUAGAAUUCAAGGAAGCAUACCAAUACCAUCAACUCCAUCCGACCUGAUUCUGUUGGAUUACUCAAAUAAUAACUUCUCUACCAUUGAACCGAACUUUGGCAGGUAUCUUACAAAUGCCCACUACAUCAAUUUGUCAAAAAAUAAAUUAAGUGGCCAUGUACCACUUUCAUUUUGUAGUUUAAGCCAACUUGAGCACAUGGACUUAUCUUACAAUAACUUUAGUGGACCAAUUCCAUCAUGUCUUAUGGAAAGAGUUGACCCGAGCAUACUGAAGUUAAGAGGAAACAAAUUACAUGGCGUGCUACCUGAAAAUAUUAGAGAAGGAUGUAAGCUUCAGACAAUUGAUUUCAAUGAAAAUCAAAUUGAAGGUGCGCUACCUAGAUCACUAGCAAAAUGCCAAGACUUAGAGGUUCUUGAUGUUGGCAGUAAUCAUAUUGUAGAUUCAUUUCCAUCAUGGAUGGGUACUCUUCCAAAUCUUCGAAUUCUUGUGUUGAGAUCUAACAAACUCUAUGGCACUAUAAGGGAUCUUCGCAGGGGCUACCAACACUUCACAAGUUUGCAAAUAGUUGAUUUGGCCUCCAACCAUUUCUCUGGUGACUUACAUUCCGAAUGGUUUGAGAAUUUUAUUUCAAUGAUGAAUAACAGCAAUGAUGAGGGGCAGAUAUUAGAGCACCAUCCAACUGGACCAAUGACACGAUUGUAUCAAGAUACUGUCACUAUCACCUUCAAAGAUGCUGCUUUAAGCAUCACCAAAAUCCUUCGUGCUUUCAAAGUAAUUGAUUUGUCAAAUAACUCAUUUGAGGGUUCCAUUCCAAGUUCAAUUGGAAGACUUGCUUCACUUCACGGACUUAACAUGUCGCACAAUAACUUCACGGGAGAAAUUCCAUCACAACUUGGGAAGUUAACAAGGUUGGAAUCAAUGGAUCUCUCUUGCAACCAUCUCUCGGGAGAAAUUCCACAGGAGUUUACCUCUCUAACUUCUCUUUCCGUGUUGAACCUUUCGUACAACAACUUGACAGGAAGAAUACCGCAGGGAAACCAAAUCUUGUCAUUUCCCAGCAGUUCGUUUGAAGGCAAUGCUGGCCUAUGUGGAAUUCAGCUUUCCAAGGAAUGUGACCCUCGUCCAGAUUCAACCACCCCAAGCACAUUGGCUCCAGAACACAAUGCUUUGUGGCAGGAUAGACUUGAUGCCAUCAUGUUGUUCCUCUGUGCUGGCUUGGGCUUUGGCGUGGGUUUUGCAUUGGCAAUCAUAUGCGGUCCCUUUUACCACAUAGAAGAAUGGCUUUGCAAGCAUUUGUAUUAGUAAUAUAAGUUUUCAACAAGAAUAAUUAUGUAUGUUUGUGCUGUACUCGUUAUUAGAUGAGACAUCUUAAAUCCACUCAGUUGUAAUUACGUUGUAACUAGUCCAUCAACCCGUACUUCCGCAUGGGCAAAUAUUUUUAAAAGCUGUUGUAUUUGAAAAUUAUUUAGAAAUUAAACUCCUAGCUAAUAAUCAAAAUUGUUUACUUAUUACUCUCACAUUUUUUCAAUACUUCAACAUAGUACUCAUAUAGAUGUGUACUCAUCUUUGUCUAGUUGUGAUUGAUUUUUAAUUAGUAAUUACUCUAUACACUUUUUCAUCCACAUUCACACCUUUCCAUUUUUUAUUGCACCUCCGUACAUUGUGUUUAGCAUCAAAAUUAAUAUUUUUCAUCACUUUAUCACAUACAUGUAUAAAUGGUCUACAUGGUAACACUCAUCAUGUCUAUAUACCUUAACUUAGUAUUUCUAUAUUAACAAUGACAUAAACUAGUAAUUUAGAAUCAUAUAUUAGUUUGUUUUUAGACAUUUCUAUAUGAUGCAUAUGCAUGAAGAUAAUUAGAUUAAGAAUUAGGUGUUUACUUUAGAUUAUUUUUAAAAAUGACAUACAUGAGUAACUUAGAUACAAAUUUAGAAUGGCAUUUUAAGUUAUGCUUUAUAAUUGUAGGCAUGGGUAAAUUGGAUGAAGAUUAUGGGGUUACUUUACAUUAUUUUUUUAUAAUGGUAGGGCUUGGUAAUUUAGAUAUAGGUUUGGGGUUUACAAUGACAGUGGUGGGUAACUUUUUAGAAAAUAUAAUAGACCAAUGACUAUGAUUAAUAUAGUUUGCAUGAUUGAUAUUUGAUAUUUAUGAUUUUUGUGAGAAGUAAUUGUGUUUUUUUAGCAUAUCUCUUAAGAACCAAUGCAGAGUCUCCAAUGGAAAAAAAUGAGGCCACAUUGCUAUAAAACUAUUACCUUGAGCUCCUUCUCAUUUGUUAAAUAUUCAAAAACAUACUUAUAUAGAUAUAUAAUUAUUAUCUUCACCCGAUUGCGAUAGAUUUUAGUUUGUAAUUUCUCUUUAACAUUUUCAUCCAUAUUUAUAAUCUUUAAUUUUUCACUUUGCAUUGCAAAUAUGCGCUUGAAUUUGUUUAAUGGAACCUAAGUUUGAGCUAACAUUUUAACAUAAAAAUUUAUAUUCCCAUCACUUUAAUUCUCUAUAUCUUUAUAAAUGGUGAAAGACAUCUUGCCUAUAUACCUUAAUUAUUAUAUGAUAUACCUAUAGUGUAAGAAAUAGAUGAUUUAGAAUCAUAUAUUGGUGUAUAUUUUGAAUUAAGGUUAUUUGGAUUCAAAUGUAGGGUUACCUCAUGUUAUUUUUAAUAAUAGCAUAUAUGGGUAAUAUAGAUGCAAAUUUAAAGGGUCAUGUUAAGUUAUUUUUUAAGUAUUAGUGGUGGGCAAUUAGUUGGUAAUUUAGGAGGUUAUUUUAAAUAUUAUUUAUAAUGGUACAUGUGGGUAAUUUUGAUAAAUAUUAGGGGUUAGUUUAGUUUAGUUUAUAUAAUAGCAUAUGGGUAAUUUAGAUGUAGAUUUAGGGGUUACUUUAGGCUAUUUUCAUAAUGGCAUAGGUGGAUAAUUUUUUUUAGAAAAACAUAAUAGAUCUAAUGGCUAUGAUGAGUUGAGUCUACAGAUUGAUGGCCAGAUGUUUUGCUUUUUUAUGAGAAUUUCUACGAUAAGAAAUGCAGCGGUGGUCCUCUCUAUAAAAUUUGCAUGGGUCUUAAAGCAGACAAACUUAUUAAUUAAAUAUUUUUUAGUUAUCUUUAUUCUGGGUCUCUUCUAGGCCAGCCCAGUCCAUGUCCAGAUGAGUCUGUUUCCUCCCGAUCCGUUUUAGUCCCUCUGAACGGCGGCUCAUGUUCCUCGCGAAAAGAACGGAGCAACGAUGGCUUGCGGCGGCGCUCCAUGGCAGUGGCACAUCAUAAAGGCGGUGGAAGCAUCCAACAUGUGGUUGGACUGAAACAUUUUCAUGAUUAUUCCUUCUGUGAAGUUAGUCACCUUGCAAUGUGCAAGCUAGAAACAAUAUCAUUGCAAGCAUAAUAAGGUACAACAUCUGCAAUGUUUCUCAUGAAUGUGUGGAAUGGCCUCCGGACACGACGUCCGCAAAACGGUCAGGAAUAAUGAACCAAGUAGCAAUUAAUGUGCAGGCGCCGUAUGUAGAGCAGGUUGGGAUUUGGGAAGUCCGGUGUCACUGCAGUCCACCUCGUCCGGUAGCACGAUUACACCUGCCUGACGAGGAGAUGGUACCGCUACAUGUGCUAAGGACGUCGAGUUGUCGAGGUCCCAGCUAGACGCGCGACUCUCUCUUGGUGCAGCCGUUUCCCUCUCCGGGCAGUGGCGAUCUCACUCACCGGCGCAGCUCCGUGCAGCCGCUACAUGUGCACCUCCAUUAUUGAUUAUGUCGGCCACUGAUAUUCUCUUUAUCCAAUCCAAUCAAAUCCAAUCGUAUUGGCUGGGUAGGAGUGGGCGAGGCGAGGCAAGGCCCAAGAUUAUCCCACUGCUAAAAAAAUUAAGAAAUAAACUAAUCUUGUUGCUUUGAAACGCGUGCUAAUUUUUAGAAAGGGACCACCAGAGCAUUUCUCUUCUAUGAUUUCUCUCUUUUUCUAAGUGUCCACUUAGGAUUCUAGGUAGUUUCACCUGAAGGCUUCAGAAGGAGUCUCUAAUUAGUAAUAUUUACUGAAUUUCAUAAGGCCCCGUUUGGAUCAUUGGAAUUGAAUUCCAUCAUAAUAAUCAUAAUUUAGACACAAAUUAAUUAAGCUAAUAUAAUUGUAUGUGAAAUAUAGUUGUAUAUUAUAGUUGGUGAUAUGGGAGAGAUACUUAUGUGCUGCACUUCUACCAUAGAGAAGCGAGUCUAAGAGCGUGCUAUAAGAAUUGAAUUCCAUUCUAAUAACCAUAAUCUAUAGAAUCAAUUUCCAUCUCCCACCCCAUGAAUUUAAGAUAAGCUUAUAUAUAAACUUUGGAAAGUUGUGGAAUGCCACAUUCCAACAUAAAUUAGCCUACUCCAUUAAAUAGAUUCCAAUUCCUUCAUACCAAACGGGGCCUAAGUGAUUUUCAAAGAGAGUUUUUUUUUGACAGCACUCCAAGUCUCCAACUUGAUAUCAACUGAAACUGAAAGCCGGCCAAGGUGCUGGUUGUAUCUGAGUACCACUAUCCAGAAUCUCCACUUGUAUUGGCGGUGGCCAUGGAUGCUUCAGAAGCUCACCAUCUCUACUUGGCUGAAUGGCGUCCACAAUAUUGGCCUUAGAUCAUCUGCACUGUGCAAUGCAUGUUACCGGCAUUACCCUGAACACCUUGAGGGCAUUGUAGACACCAGUGCCAAUACACAGCAGAAACAUGUCAUCUGUUAGAGCCGGGCUCUCGCUGGUGAUUUGGAAGUCGCAGACGUUGUUGCUGUUGAUUGUGGUGAACAAAGUUAGGGUGGUGGCUAGAGCACUCGCGGUCGGUGGAACACAAGCAUUGUGGAUAUGACUGGGCAUUGAACAUCUGGUGGGCGUCACGGAUUAGCACUCCGUAGUGGUGAUAGAGAUGGCUAGGGUGGCAUCCUGGUCAGAGUAGAGGUGGAUGUAGAGGGAAGUGCCGAGGAUGCGGUCUUGGACACCAGAAUGCAGGUGUCAUGGUAAAGGGAAGUCUUUGGACACCUUGUGGGCGCCAUCUCUAGAACCUCGGUGGCCCUGACAGAACGAUGCGGAAAGCUGUUGGUUAUGCCGAGGUCAUGGCUGUAGGCACUUGAAAGCAGGUGGCCUGGUUAGGACCCGCCAUCGAACACCUGGUGGGCGCCACUGGUUGAAGCUCCGUGGCCGUGAUGAGAAUGACAACAGAGGCAUCCCGUGGUGGAAAGGAGGUCAGUGAAGGGGGGUUGAAGAUGCCGGUGGCUCAGCACGGUGGCACAACUGAGCAUUCCUUUCCUCGAUCUUCCGAUUCAUGUCAUCACACUUCUGAUCUAGUUCCUCGAGCUUGGCCAGUAUCACAGCACACAUCUCCUCCGUCAUGUUCACUCGUAUUCCGAUGCAGUGGUAGUGGUGGUUUUUGAUCGAAAUAGCUGUGAACCAAAUGUCACACCCUAGAUGCAACUCACAGAACAAAUUAUCUCCCAACAAUGAACUACGGAAUAUAUAUGGAGUAUACUAGAAUUUGGAUACACAUGGAUGAGGAACUCGCUAGUGUUCUCGAGUCGAAGCUUGCCGCCGCAGAGCCAAUGAGUCCCAAAUCCAGUUCUUCUUUCCCUCAUGACGACUAUUUUAUCCUCUUACAUGCUGCGCCAGCUAUGCUGCAGCGAUACCCGUUCAUGGGCCUAUCUUAACUACCUUAGCCAUCGGGCCCAACAAGAAUAACGUUGGGCUUCCGAACCUGAUGGCCCACAACUUCAGCUUUACUUCACUUAAGAUAGUUGCUAGUUAGUACUCCCUCCGUCCCAAAUUAUAGGUCGUUUUGACUUUAUUAGAUUCAUAGACUUUGUUAUGCACUUAGAUAUCUAGAUGCAUAAUAAUAUCUAUGUAUCUAGAAAAGUCAAAACGAUCUAUAAUUUGGAACGGAGGGAGUACAUGUCUUAUCUACAACCCUGCAUUAGCUAUCUCACUCUAGUUUGGCUAGCUGUCAGGACAGUCUGCUUACUCGAAGCUUGAGGCAUGUUUCUUUAAUAUAGUUUUCUUUUUCUUCUUGGAUAUUUAUAGCACAUAAUUGAUCCUGUGAAGUACUGCUAUAGAGAGGAAGACUAGUUCUUCUUAUUUAACAUCUCUUUGUGUUCUGCAUAUGCAUGAAAAGAAGGGCAUAGCUAGGUGAAAUGUUCUUUUGUUGGCUGUAUAAGACUUCAUUUUUUUAAUUUAUUUUUUUUAAACUUUUAGAUCAAUCGUUUGAAUUCUCUUCAAUAUUUUCUUGCUUCAUGUUCUCUUUGUUUUUGUGCAACAGUAUGAUAUUGGAAUAGGAAUGCUGCAAGACAAUCCAAAUAGAAGGUUAGUUUCAUCAUAUUUAUAUGGUUAAAAUUACUUCAAAAUUAUAUGGUUAAAGUUACUAUGUAAUGGUUGACUGUCACUGUUGUUUGCAUUGGCAGAUCAUGGAUGGAAUUCCUGCAAGAGCCAAGCACAAACUGUAUUCAGCGCUUCUCUGUUGAUGUUUCGUUUCUCGUUGCCGCCUUUCUUGCAGACCGGUUAGGGUUAGGUUACACCAUCUGCUUCAGGUGAUUUCGGGAAUGUGGAAUGUCUCCUCUUCAUUUGAGAAGAGAGAAAGAGUGUUUUGUUGGAAUAUUACUGGUGCGUAUGUUUAUGCAUGGCUUUUCAGGCUCAAAUCAAGGGGAAAAAAUAGACUAAUGGGCUGGUAAAUUUAUGUUCUGGUGGAUUUUCUCUAUGGCUUUAUUUAGUUCCAAGAAUCCUGGUGAACUCCGAAACUUAAAAUGAAAUCCUAAAAUUGUUUCUCUAACCUCCUAAAAUGGGCUGUUCUUUUUUUCUGGUCAACUAUUUCCCCCAACUUCCGGAACUUAAAAUGAAAUCCUAAAAUUUCUCGGCCUCUCUUGUUUCAGGUCAUCAGGCCCAACCGAGGCCUCUUCUCUCCUUUCGUCAUUCGGUCCCUCUAAUUUUGCUCUUCUGCUUGCGCACCAGGCGUCAUCGCUCACCGCGCCAGGAGCUUUUGCAGCGCCAGACGGCCCUGCUCUACACCACAGUAUUCUUCCUUGGAACCUGCGGGCUCCGGUGAGCCGCUUUGGGAUCUCCUAUUCGCGACUCUGGGUACCUCGCCGGGUUACAGUUGCCUUCAUUGUACUUCGUCAUUGCUCUCUAACUAGGUACUCGAUUAUGAACAGCGCGCCGGCUCAGUGAGUACUCGGUGAAGGCGAGCGCAACGAGCCCCAACACAUGUCAUCCGUCGAAAACUACAUAAUUUCCAGAGUAUGGAAUUUUCAGCGCGCGGUGUGACCAACACUAUCUUUAUAUGAUUAUAGCUGCAAACCAAGUUUUUAAGUAACAAAGCAAAUAAAACAGUCUCGUGUCAUUGCUCUAAAGGGGAGAAAGGAAGAACAGAAACAACGAUGUGCCAUUCCCCAGAAACAAAGAAACAACUGUAAAAAGUGGUUCUAGAUGAAGCUAAAUUGACCAUCGAUGGCGAUUGUGUCGACACGGCAAACAUCCAGACAGCUAGCAUUGACUGACUUGGCCUGUUGAGUACUCGAGGGAACUCGAUAGGUCUUAUGACAAGCCUCGAUUGACUCGAAUUAUUGACCUUCACUGUCCUUCGUCAUUGCUUUCUAACCUAGGUACUCGGUUAUGAACAGCGCGCCGGCUUGGGUACUCGGUGAAGGCGAGCGCAACGAGCCCCAGCACAUGGCAUCCAUGGAAAACUACAGAAUUUUCAGAGUAUGGAAUUUUCAGCGUGCGGUGUGGCCAACACUAUCUUUAUAUGAUUAUAUCUGCAAACCGAUUUUUUAAGUAACAAUGUCAAUAAAACACUCUCGUGUCAUUGCUCUAAAGGAGGAGAAAGGAAUAACAGAAACAACGCCGUGGCAUUCCCCAGAAGCAAAGAACAACGGGAAAACCACACCAUGAGAGAUGUCGUCUUGAACACUCUUGAUUGUGUUGACACGGCAAACAUCCAGACAGCUAGCAUUGACUGACUUGGCUGAUACAUCCACUUCACUGUUGAGUACUCCAGGGAACUCAAUAGGUCUUAUGACAAGUCUCGAUUGACUCGAGUUAUUCACUCAUACCUUGAUUUUUUCCUCCCCUUUCCUGUUGUCGUUCGGUCCAGAUGCCCAUUACCCAGUGCCUGUCAGUGUGUGCUUCUCCCUCCGAUUGCCCAUUACCUAACAAAUUGUAGUUUGCACCGUAAUUCCCUUAAAUCUGCUCCAACCAAGCACCACCUCUCAUGCAAGUCAACAUAUAUGGCAUUUGGUAUCAAUUCUGUAAAUACAAUUUCAAUCAUUCGCUGGUUAUAUUUUUAAAUGAAUUUAAUAUAAAUUUUGAUUAUCUAUUGCUUCUAAAUUCCUGUCGAAAUUAAUUUGAUAUUUUAUUAACCUAUAAUAUCCUAUACUUCAUUUUAUGAGGAAUCUAUCAGAAAAUGAAUUGUAAUUUUUAUGGCUCAUAUCUAUUUGCUCUCUUUAUUAGAUAUUUUUCUUUCCAGUUGUAUGUAAAUCAAACUUUUAUUUUAUUUUUAUCAUUCGGAGUUUUAGUUUUUUAUUACUUCCAUGUCAAGAUAAUAUUUUGAACAAGAUUCCAAUCAACCUUUUGAAAAUCUAACCACUAUAGACAGCUUUUAGAAUAUUCAGUUUGAAAAUUUAGAAUACUCAUUGAAAGACAUAAUAUAAUAUUUUGUAUGUUUAUAUAAUAUCUUCUUACUGAAAAUAGUGGCCACACAGCUAUGUUAUCCAAAACACCUUCUUUUCUUUAAGAACAGGGGAACGAUUGUUUCUUUUUCUAUUUUAUUAAUAUGAUAUUUUUAUAGUCAAUACGGAGACUUGUUUUCUCUUAGCUUUGCCUUAUUAAAAUAACAAUUGAAGAUUCCGUAACUAUGGUUGGGGGCAGAUAUUACUUCCAUGCGAGUUUAUAUUUUGGCCCCUGUUCGCUGGUCUUCCUCUCGAGUCAGCGGCCGGAAUGUGUGGUUCAGAGCAACCAGAGAACAGAAUAUCUACACACGAUUGAUUGGAAUUUGGAAACUGCAAACCAGUAGCGCAAUGGCUCCUGCCAAGGAUCGCCUCCACAACCUUCUGGUCCUGCUCUUGUUCAUAGGUUGCCUCUUCGUAGAUGCUGCCGCCAAGCUUAACACCACAGCGCCUUGCCUCCCGGAUCAAGCUUCUUCCCUCCUCCGGCUAAAAGCUUCCUUCAUCGGUGACAACCUACCAUCAUGGCAAGCUGCAACAGAUUGUUGCCACUGGGAGGGCGUCACCUGCGACAUGGCCUUUGGAAGAGUCAUUUCUCUUGACCUCAGUGAGUUCCAACUAAUGAGCAGGCGUCUUGAUCCUGCGCUCUUCAACCUCACCUCUCUCAGGUACCUCAGCCUUGCAUUUGUUGACUUCAGUGGAGUCUCGCUCCCGGCAUCUGGGUUUGAGCGGCUCACAGAUAUCAUUAACCUCGACCUCUCUUAUACCCGUUUUACGGGUAAGAUCCCAAUUGGAAUUGCGUGCCUCAAGAACCUUGUGAUCAUUCACUUGCUUGAUAAUUACGAAUUGUAUUUUGAACGGCCAAGUUUCCAAACCAUCAUGGCAAAUAUGAGCAAUCUGAGGGAGCUUUAUCUUGAUGGAGUGGAUUUACAUAACAUCGGAUCGGAUUGGUCCACUGUUUUAGCAGACUCCGUUCCCCAGCUACAGAUUCUUAGCUUGUCCGGGUGUCGUAUAUCAGGUUCUAUCCACCCUUCAUUCUCAAGUUUGAGGACGCUUGAUUUGUCCUGGAACCCCAUGCUUUCUGUGAGAUUAACAUAUUUCCCAGCUGGAAACAAUUUGGAAGUACUAAAUCUAGAAGGGACCAAUUUCUCUUAUGACACCCCAUCCUCGUUUGCCAAUCUUGAGUCUUUAAAGACAUUGAGGCUUAGCACGAUGGGAAUUGAUAAUGAACUCGCCUCUUUGAUAUCUGAGCUUCCAGCAUUGGAUGACCUGCGACUCAUUGGAUCAAAUUUGGAGAAACCGGUAUUAUCUUGGGUCAGCAAUCUUACCCAAUUGACAGUCCUGCGGCUUUAUGGUUAUGACUUCUCUAAAUCGGUUCCCACUUGGAUCGGCAAAUUGACAAGGCUGGAAAGUUUGAUGAUAUGGUAUUGCAGUUUCUCCGUGCCAAUACCAUACCAGAUUAGAAAUCUUACUAAAUUGGCAGCGCUGGACUUCUCAAGAUGCGACUUCGAGCAAAGAAUGCCAUCAUGGAUAGGCAAUCUUACAGAGUUGACUUCUUUGACCAUUGAUGAUUGCAGUUUAUCUGGGCCAAUACCCUCAACAAUUGGGAACCUGAUCCAACUUGAAUACUUGGAGUUCUGCGAUACUAACAUCAGCGGUGAGACUAUGUCCCAGUUACUUUCUUGAAUACCUCCUUUUAUUUUGCAACUGUAGACAGAUCAUACACCUACUGUAUGACACGCCAUGCAUACACCGUUAAAAAAAUAAUAAUGAAUUUAAGUGAAGAAGAAAAUUUAACACUACCAAAUCAACAGAGUGACCUUCAGAAAACAAGAAAAAGGCUUUGGCUAGUAAUUUUCGGCAAUGUUGAGAAAAGAAAAACCCUGAUAUUUUCACUUUGAGUCUAUGACCAAAUUUCCAUAGUUUAGUAGUUUGGAAGGUUAGAUGCCUUUAACACUAGUACACACGAGUCACGACUCAGGUCUUCUUUUCCUUCUUUUUUUCUCUCUUGACAUGAUACAUUCAGAUACCAUAAUACAGUAUUGGUCCAUUUACAAAUAUACCAAGGAAUAUUAAUUUUUUGGGACAGGCCUUUUUAUUAUUUUG